AAAUACCACCGACUGAGUGGCUUAAACCACGGACAUUUAUUUCUCAUAGUUCCUAAAGCUAGGAAGUGCAAGACAAGGUUCAAGCAGAUUAGGUUACUGGAGAAGGCCCCUUCCUGGCUUGCCAGUGGCUGCCACUGUGUCGUCAUGUGGCAGAGAGAGCUCUGGUGUGUCUUCUUCUUAAAAGGAUUAUAAUCUCAUCAUGGGAGCUUCAUCCUCAUGACUUCAUCGAAAUCUAAUUACCUCCCAGUGACCUCGCACUCACUGGGGGGUUAGGGCUUCAACAUAUGAAUUUUUGGGGGACGCAUUCCGUCUAUAACACAGUGUUUAAGAAAAACCUACUCAAAGCAUGAUCAUGACUAUAUACUACCAUGGAUAUGUUAAGCAUAUGCUGCCUAAAGAACUCAUCUGAAACAUAAAGGGAGAUUCCAGGCUGCUGAUCGUUCAGAGUUGAUAAAGACCACAGAAAACAUAGAUGUGUCAAUGGACAUGAAGCCUUCCUGGACCACCAGAGAUGUGGCACUUACAGUGCACCGGGCUUUCAGGAUGAUUGGUCUCUUUUCUCAUGGAUUCUUGGCUGGCUGUGCUGUGUGGAAUAUUGUUGUGAUAUAUGUUCUAGCAGGAGAUCAGCUAUCCAACCUCUCAAACCUUCUGCAACAAUAUAAGACCCUAGCGUAUCCAUUCCAGAGUCUUCUGUACUUGCUUUUGGCUCUGAGUACAAUUUCAGCUUUUGACAGGAUUGACUUUGCUAAAAUAUCAGUAGCAAUCCGAAAUUUUUUGGCCCUGGAUCCUACAGCUUUAGCAUCUUUCUUGUACUUUACUGCUCUUAUACUAUCUCU
rnacentral:sRNA from 1 species